UACGUAGGGUGCGAGCGUUAAUCGGAAUUACUGGGCGUAAAGCGUGCGCAGGCGGUUCGUGAUGUCUGGUGUGAAAGCCCCAGGCUUAACCUGGGAAUUGCAUUGGAAACUAGCGGGCUGGAGUGUGGCAGAGGGGGGUGGAAUUCCACGUGUAGCAGUGAAAUGCGUAGAGAUGUGGAGGAACACCGAUGGCGAAGGCAGCCCCCUGGGCUAACACUGACGCUCAUGCACGAAAGCGUGGGGAGCAAACAGG
rnacentral:rRNA from 1 species